GGGGGGGGGGGGGGGGGGGGGGGGGGGGGGGGGGGGGGGGGGGGGGGGGGGGUGUUGAAUGUCCUCUGCCAAAGCCCAGUGCUCUGUUAGUGUCAGCUGUGGGAUGUCCCCUGCCAAGAAAGCUGCAGCCAGGCACUGACAUUUCUGAGUGGAAUCUUGCAGUUGGAUGCCAGAGGUCAGCUUCUUAACAACUGUCUGUACAUCAAUCAUCUGACUCCAAAACAGUAGUUUCAAGUUCUGCCGCAGUAAAUUGCCUGGUUUCCCGGAAUUACUCCGGUGCCCCUGCAACAGGGAAAGCCGCACCCACCGGAGAGCCAGGACUGCAUAAAGAGCCGGGGCUGUGCUGGGCUUGUCCCACGGCAGGAGCUGCGGGACACGCACGGACAAGGAUUUUGGGCCUUUCCUUCGUGGUGCUCUUCCUCCUGAGUUCUCGAGUGGUUCCCAUCUUCUCCUCCACACCCUGCCGUGUGCCCCAGGCCUGCCACUGCUGCUGUGCUGUGUCCCCUGAGCUGGGGCCCUCGGCUGCCGGUGUCUGCUGGAAGCCAAGGCUGGGAGAACAGGAGCAUCUGCUGUGAGGUGGGUGAGGGGAAUCAGAGCACACAGCCCUUGCUCAGAUAUCCCAAAUCUGCAGGGAUUCCCAAGGGAAAGCUGCCCCUGAAUGCUCUGUAAGGGUUCAGGAGCCCUCAGAUCCCUAGCUGAGUCCAUGCCCCUGGGACCAAUACCUGUGCUGGCAAGAGUGUUGUGGCCUUGGUGGGACAGAUACUGAAAGCUCUGAAGGAUUUUUUUUUCAAGGGAUAAAUGUCUCCAGUAUCGGAGUGAAUUGAGACUGGGACGGUUUUCAGGGUCGUGUGACAGAGUGAAAAACCCCAAAUGUUUAAAGGCAGGUGUCCAGUGAAAGUGCCAGGUCCAUUAGGGUGAGGAUCACUCAGGCCUGGCCUGAGUUGGAAGGGACACACCAGGCUCCGGGGAGAGGAAGGAUCAAAAGCUCUACUGAAAUCCAAAAAGCUCAGAUUAACUGGCUGUCCUUGAUCACCCCCAUGGGUUAAUAUGUUGUGAUAGGAAAAAUAGGGUGACCAGCAGGACUUUCCCUCUUGAGUCUGUAGUGGCUGUGACCCAUAACUGCUUUGUCCUUCAGGGGUUUUUCCAUAAAAAGCCUCCAGCAGUGACGGACCUGUACUGGUUGAAAAGACAGGUGUCUGCCAAGGAAGGUGAGAACCUUCCUGGAAUGGAGAAUAUGAUAGCUUCUUUCCA
rnacentral:lncRNA from 12 species